rnacentral:rRNA from 1 species
GGCCUGGUGGCCUGARCGGUGUGCCCA